rnacentral:ncRNA from 1 species
UAGGUAGGCGCAGGCGAUACCUUCGGCAUGGCUGUAACUCAUGAAUCCUGUGCGGGAAUGGGCGGCAUCAGGGGUGCCGGCGACUUGGUUUUCCGCAUG